rnacentral:rRNA from 1 species
AGUGGCGAACGGGUGAGUAACACGUGGGCAAUCUGCCCUUCACUCUGGGACAAGCCCUGGAAACGGGGUCUAAUACCGGAUACGACACUCUCGGGCAUCCGAUGAGUGUGGAAAGCUCCGGCGGUGAAGGAUGAGCCCGCGGCCUAUCAGCUUGUUGGUGAGGUAACGGCUCACCAAGGCGACGACGGGUAGCCGGCCUGAGAGGGCGACCGGCCACACUGGGACUGAGACACGGCCCAGACUCCUACGGGAGGCAGCAGUGGGGAAUAUUGCACAAUGGGCGAAAGCCUGAUGCAGCGACGCCGCGUGAGGGAUGACGGCCUUCGGGUUGUAAACCUCUUUCAGCAGGGAAGAAGCGAAAGUGACGGUACCUGCAGAAGAAGCGCCGGCUAACUACGUGCCAGCAGCCGCGGUAAUACGUAGGGCGCGAGCGUUGUCCGGAAUUAUUGGGCGUAAAGAGCUCGUAGGCGGUCUGUCGCGUCGGAUGUGAAAGCCCGGGGCUUAACCCCGGGUCUGCAUUCGAUACGGGCAGACUAGAGUGUGGUAGGGGAGAUCGGAAUUCCUGGUGUAGCGGUGAAAUGCGCAGAUAUCAGGAGGAACACCGGUGGCGAAGGCGGAUCUCUGGGCCAUUACUGACGCUGAGGAGCGAAAGCGUGGGGAGCGAACAGGAUUAUAUACCC